rnacentral:rRNA from 1 species
UACGUAGGGUGCGAGCGUUGUCCGGAAUUAUUGGGCGUAAAGGGCUCGUAGGCGGUCUGUUGCGUCAGGAGUGAAACUCGGGGCUUAACCCCGAGCCUGCUUCUGAUACGGGCAGACUAGAGGUAUGCAGGGGAGAACGGAAUUCCUGGUGUGCGGUGAAAUGCGCAGAUAUCAGGAGGAACACCGGUGGCGAAGGCGGGCUCUGGGCCGAUACUGACGCUGAGGAGCGAAAGCGUGGGGAGCGAACAGG